rnacentral:rRNA from 1 species
GACGUAGGGCGCGAGCGUUGUCCGGAUUUAUUGGGCGUAAAGAGCUCGUAGGCGGCUUGUCGCGUCGACUGUGAAAACCCGCGGCUCAACCGUGUGGUCUGCAGUCGAUACGGGCAGGCUGGAGUUCGGUAGGGGAGACUGGAAUUCCCGGUGUAGUGGUGGAAUGCGUAGAUAUCGGGAGGAACACCAGUGGCGAAGGCGACUACCUGGCCUGUUCUUGACGCUGAGGCGCGAAAGCUAGGGGAGCAAACGGGG